AGUGGUAUGACAGAUAAAUGUGAUAGAUUUAAGCUUUAUUUAUGAGGUUUUACCCCUCUGCCGCAU
rnacentral:tRNA from 1 species